rnacentral:rRNA from 1 species
UGCGCAGGCGAUUUUGUAAGUCAGAUGUGAAAUCCCCGGGCUUAACCUGGGAACUGCAUUUGAGACUGCAAGGCUAGAGUGUGGCAGAGGGGGGUAGAAUUCCACGUGUAGCAGUGAAAUGCGUAGAGAUGUGGAGGAAUACCGAUGGCGAAGGCAGCCCCCUGGGCCAAUACUGACGCUCAUGCACGAAAGCGUGGGGAGCAAACAGGAUUAGAUACCCUGGUAGUCCACGCCCUAAACGAUGUCAACUAGGUGUUGGAGGGGUUAAACCCUUUAGUGCCGUAGCUAACGCGUGAAGUUGACCGCCUGGGGAGUACGGCCGCAAGGCUAAA